UUUCGUCUAAAAGGAAGAAGAGCGUGAAGUUGACCGGACUAGACCACAGAGCAGAAUCAAAGGAUUAAGAAUUGGAUGGAUAUUCAGAAACUGCUAAAUUUGAAAUUCCCAUUUCUCUGGGUCCUCCUCCUCAAAAACUUCAUCUUUUCACUCUCUUCUCCGUUUCUCUGCAAUUAUACCGCGAGGUUUGACAAAGUUUUUCUGGAUAAAACCAUUGAUUGAGUGGCUGAUAUUCCUGAUCCUCAGGUGGGCUGAAUACCAGUUUUCUAUAUGAGUGGCUGCAGCUUGAUCCAGCUGUUAAAGAGGCAUUUGAUGUUUCAGCAUAUAUGCAUUUCAUUUUGCUCAGAAGGCUCCCCUGGUGAAAGUUGGGAAUAUGAAACCUGCACAGAUUUUUCUGGCCAGAAAAAGAUGGCAGUUAAUCAUACCACUAAUUAAAUUAUAAGCUACAAAAUAAGACUAUCGAUUUCAUUCUCUCUCUAGGAGGUGUUUUAUUGUGCCAAAGCCGGGGGAGCUCUAGAGUUUUGAUCCACAACCUUAGGUUGUCAUUCAUCCGCAGCUUUUAUUAAGCACUACAUCUAGAUUAUAUCCUGUAAUUUUG